CGUAGUUGUAUCAUCUCCCAUCUCAACGACGCCCUACAACGCAGACGGAAAUUUGAAAUCAGAAAAAAAAUACGAACCUUGCGGUUUGAAUAUUACAUGGUACGACAAAUAUUAACAAAGUACCACUCAUAUCCGCUAAUCUGAAAUUCCUUCUCAUCAUGAAAAAGUGUUCCACCACCCCUCCGAUCGUCCGGUACAUCCACCGAAUUGUAGAAAGAAACAACGUCAUCUGCAACAGAUAUAUCUUGGUCUCCGUCAAAAGAAGGAAGGGUAUAUUCAGACUGCAUAGAUACAAGUUGACUCGACAGUGGAUUGGGGUUUUGAUCUCC